rnacentral:ribozyme from 1 species
AACGAGAGAGAGAAAGAGGAAGCGGCCGCUCGCCUCGCCCCAGGAAAAGAAAGAAAGAAACGCUAGAGAGCUUUUUCGUUUUUCGUUUUUUUCAUUUUUUUUUUUGAC